CGUAGGCGGCUUGUUAAGUCUGAAGUGAAAGCCCUCGUUUCAAGCGGGGAACGGCUUUGGAUACUGGCAAGCUUGAGUGCAGGAGAGGGAUGCGGAAUUCCCAGUGUAGCGGUGAAAUGCGUAGAUAUUGGGAAGAACACCAGAGGCGAAGGCGGCAUCCUGGACUGUUACUGACGCUGAAGCGCGAAAGCCAGGGGAGCAAACG
rnacentral:rRNA from 1 species